UGUACUUUACUCGCCGCGCGCGCGUGACAAAAAAAUAACUAUGUGAGUGGGAAAGGAAUAAACUAAUGAAGAAGAAGAGAAAGCAAAAGAAACUCGAACGCGGAGAAAUUGUUGUUGUCGUCGCAGUUAACGGGUUUUAUUUUCUCUAUUGUCUUAAAUUUUCUUGCUCGUUCCAUUUUCACUUUAAUUGCUCCACGCAUCUCAAAUCAAUG